rnacentral:rRNA from 1 species
UACGAAGGGGGCUAGCGUUGUUCGGAUUUACUGGGCGUAAAGCGCACGUAGGCGGAUCUUUAAGUCAGAGGUGAAAUCCCAAGGCUCAACCUUGGAACUGCCUUUGAUACUGGGGAUCUUGAGUCCGGGAGAGGUGAGUGGAACUGCGAGUGUAGAGGUGAAAUUCGUAGAUAUUCGCAAGAACACCAGUGGCGAAGGCGGCUCACUGGCCCGGUACUGACGCUGAGGCACGAAAGCGUGGGGAGCAAACAGG